ensembl:lncRNA
CCCAUAAGUGCCACCGCACCCCAUAAAUCACAGCAGACCCCACAAGUAGCACUGGGCCCCACAGGAUCCGCCCGGCCCCAUAGGUUACACCCGGCCCCAUAAGUGACAUCAGGCCCCAUAAGUCACAACAGGCACCGUAGGUCACUCCACACCCCCUAAGAUCCACCCAGCCCCACAAGUGGCACCAGGCCCCACAGAUCACUGUAGGCCCCACAGAUCACUGCAGGCCCCAUAGAUCUCAGCAGCCCCACGGAUCUCAGCAGCCCCAUAGAUCUCAGCAGGCUCCACGGAUCACUGCAGGCCCCAUAGAUCUCAGCAGGCCCCACAGAUCGCAGCAGGCCCCACAGAUCACUGCAGCCCCAUAGAUCGCAGCAGGCCCCAUAGAUCUCAGCAGGCCCCACAGAUCACAGCAGGCCCCACAGAUCACGGCAGGCCCCACAGAUCUCAGCAGGCCCCAUAGGUCAUAGCAGGCCCCACGGAUCUCAGCAGCCCCACAGAUCUCAGCAGGCCCCGCAGAUCACAGCAGCCCCAUAGAUCUCAGCAGGCCCCAUGGAUCACUGCAGGCCGCACAGACCUCAGCAGGCCCCAUGGCUCACUGCAGCCCCAUAGAUCUCAGUAAGCCCCACAGAUCUCAGCAGACCCAUAGAUCUCAGCAGGCCCCACAGAUCACUGUAGACCCCAUGGAUCACUGCAGGCCCCACAGAUCACAGCAGCCCCAUAGAUCUCAGCAGGCCCCAUAGAUCACUGCAGGCCGCACAGACCUCAGCAGCCCCACAGAUCACUGUAGACCCCAUGGAUCACUGCAGGCCCCACAGAUCACUGCAGGCCCCACAGAUCUCAGCAGCCCCAUGGAUCUCAGCAGCCCCACAGAUCACUGCAGGCCGCACAGACCUCAGCAGCCCCACAGAUCACUGCAGGCCCCACAGAUCACUGUAGACCCCAUGGAUCACUGCAGGCCCCACAGAUCGCAGCAGCCCCAUAGAUCUCAGCAGCCCCAUAGUUCACUGCAGGCCCCACAGAUCUCAGUAGGCCCCAUGGCUCACUGCAGCCCCACAGAUCUCAGCAGACCCACAGAUCUCAGCAGGCCCCAUAGAUUGCUGCAGGCCCCACAGAUCACUGUAGACCCCAUGGAUCACUGCAGGCCCCACAGAUCACAGCAGGCUCCAUGGAUCUCAGCAUCCCCACAGAUCACUGCAGGCCCCACAGAUCACUGUAGACCCCAUGGAUCACGGAGGCCCCACAGAUCACAGCAGCCCCAUAGAUCUCAGCAGCCCCAUGGAUCACAGCAGCCCCAUGGAUCACUGCAGGCCCCAUAGAUCUCAGCAGCCCCACAGAUCUCAGCAGCCCCAUGGAUCACUGCAGGCCCCACAGAUCUCGGCAGGCCGCACAGACCUCAGUAGGCCCCACGGCUCACUGCAGCCCCACGGAUCUCAGCAGCCCCACGGGUCCCGCCCAGCCCCACGGCAGCCGCUCACCCCACGCGCUCCGCCCGG